GCGAAAGAGGAAAACGGAGGAAGAAAUUCCGAGAACUCCGUGUGGGAGUGUGCUACAGACCCACUGAUCGAAGAUGCUGGGCUGUGGAUGUGUGUUGGUCUCCUAUCUCCUUACUCUAUUCCUCAGCAGUUCCGAUGGCCUCCAAGCAACCCCAGUGACCUCCAAGUGUCCAGACUUGGCGGUGGCAGAGGACUCUCACUCAUGGAGGCCGUCUGGGGAGAGAUUAGCCAGCAGGCCGACAGGCAAACUCCCAUCCCUGGACCAGACGGGGAACACGAUCCAGACCAAGAGGAAGAGGCUGUUCCCAGGGGCUAAUGCCCCGCUAGACCGCCUGUCUGUCGGCAAUAUGGACAUUAAGGGUAAAAAGAGGAAGGAGGUGGAAUCGCCAAGGAGGCGAGUGAGCGCCCCCAUCGACAGAAUUGGGAUGGGAAGAUUCCCCAGCAGACUGGGCUGAGACGCGCCCUGCCGCCCCCUACAGGGUGGGCCUUUACGAGUGGACAAGAGAUAAAGGACUACACUCUCGCACAAAAUAACUAAUUCACACAAACCCACUCCCACUCCACUCACACACCAACACACAAACCCACUCCCACUCCACUC